ensembl:lncRNA
GUUAGGGUUGAACCGGGAUGUGGACAUGAAGCUAGGGUUAGGGUUGAACCGGAGUGGACAUGAGCUAGGCAGGGUUAGGGUUGAACCGGGAUGUGGACAGAAGCUAGGGUCAGGGUUAGUGUUGAACCGGGAUGUGGACAUGAAGCUAGGGUUAGGGUUGAACCGGAUGUGGACAUGAAGCUAGGGUUAGGGUUGAACCGGGAUGUGGACAUGAAGCUAGGGUUAGGUUGAACUGGGAUGGGUUACUGUGGACCAAUGGGUCAGGUAGGGCUGAAGCUAGGGUAGGGUUGAACCGGGAUGUGGACAUGAAGCUAGGGUUAGGGUUGAACCGGAUGUGGACAUGAAGCUAGGGUUAGGGUUGAACCGGGAUGUGGACAUGAAGCUAGGGUUAGGGUUAGAGUUGAACCGGGAUGUGGACAUGAAGCUAGGGUUAGUGUUGAACCGGGAUGUGGACACGAAGCUAGGGUUGAAUCGGGAUGUGGACAUGAAGCUAGGGUUAGGGUUGAACCGGGAUGUGGACAUGAAGCUAGGGUUAGGGUUGAACCGGGAUGUGGACAUGAAGCUAGGUUCAGGGUUAGGGUUGAACCGGGAUGUGGACAUGAAGCUAGGGUUAGGGUUGAACCGGGAUGACACAGGACCUGAGGAGGCUGAGGUUUGUUAUGUGCCUGUUCAAUGUGUUAACUGUUUUAAAACCGUAGUGCUUUGUGUUUUCUGUUGUAAAUGUUUUAUGUUGUAAACUUUGUGUGCUACUUUUUCCGCCAGGUCUCUAUUGAAAAAUAUGUUAUUAAUCUCAAGUAGACCAACCUGGUAAAAUAAAGGUUAAAAAAACAACUAAAAGAUAGGGUUAGGGUAGAACUGGGAUGUGGACAUGAAGCUAGGAUUGGGAUUAGGGUUGUGGCUAGGUUUAGGGUUAGGGUUAGGGUUAGGGUUAGGGUUAGGGUUAGGGUUAGGGUCGAACCAUCGCCCUAUACUACAAAUCUUAGCAAGGUAACUUUGGUCUAGGAUUAGGUUUAGGGUUGUGGUUGAGGCUUAGGGUUGAACCACAGCCCUAUAAUACGAAUGAGGUUUGAGGAGUUAGCGAGGUAGCUUUGGUCAACUCUGUGUUCAACUCUCGAUAACCAGAAACAUGAAAGUGACUCACCUUUUAACCAGGUACAUUUCUAUGGCAAUGAAUCCUUCAGAACUAACCUGGUCCAGGGCAGGCUAACUCAGGGCUAACUCCAGUUAUCAUGAGAAGUGUCUGAGCCGUGAAUUGAGGACCAACGAAAUCAGAUUCCCUCCCUCUGGCAAAGAUUGCAUCAUCAUCCCUUUCAUUUUAAUUAAUCAAAUAUUUUUUUGUGUUAAAUGUUUUAUUAUUAAAAUAGCUAUCACGUUACAUAUUUAGUAAUGACAGGAUGCCUUUGAAAUGUCACCCACUGUAAAACUUUUGUAUGAUUUGAUACAAAUUAUUUUUUAAAUUAAUUGUAUAAAGGUGUUUGUGCGAUGAUAAGCACACCAAAGACGACAUUAAUGAUACGUAAUAAAAUGAAGACUGGACUUCUAAUACCCUAUUUCACAUCAUAGCCUGCUAAAUGUGGAAGAUAACUUUUAUUUCAUGUUGAUUUGGGGGAAAAAAUGAGAAGGUGGCACUGACUCGCCCAUGGAUUUAUGUUUCAAUGAAGAGUUUGGCGUUCGACUAGCCACGUGCGACAUGCACACUCAGUUACAAGCCUGGUAGAGUUAGAGGCAGAUGGACAAGCAAUAUCCACCGUCGUAAUAUGGAUGAAGCCUGAACAGGAAUGUGAAGCUAUCUGAAUCUGGUUAGCUUUAGAAAACACUGAGUGGAUCUAGCUUGCAUCAUAGUGUACCACACAGGAUGUGGACAUGAAGCUAGGGUUAGGGUUAGGUUUGUGGUUUACCCUAGGGUUAGGGUUGAACUGAGAUGUGAACAUGAAGCUAGAGCUAGGGUUAGGGUUGAACUGGGAUGUGCACAUGAAGCUAGGGUUAGAGUUAGGGUUAGGGUUGUGUUGAUGUAUUACGUUGACACAAAAAUAGGUAACAUUUACUACGGUGGAAUGUCAUAUUCACAUUCAAAAAGUGCCUGUGGAUCUGUAUUCUGUGCUCACAGAAUUGUUUGACAGAAUUGUUAUAUAUAUAUAUAUAUAUUAUAUAUAUAUAUAUACUUUUUUUCCUACAUAAUUAUUGACUGUAUGUUUGUUUAUUCAAUGUGUAACUCCGUGUUGUUGUAUGUGUCAAGCUGCUUUGCUUUAUCUUGGCCAGGUCGCAAUUGUAAAUGAGAACUUGUUCUCAACUAGCCUACCUGGCUAAAUAAAGGUGAAAUAUAAUAAAUAAAUAAAAAUUGCACUGGAUGAAGGUUUCACACACAAACUGACAAUUUGAAAAUCAAUUUCUGGGUUUGUGUUUCAGUUUGCGGUUAUGGGUGUUCUGAAUGUUUUGGAAUCCUGCUGUGUUUAAUUAUUUUUAUUUUUACUAUAGACAUAGUUGUUGACUGAGUGAAGUGGAAUUGCCCACAUUGAAAUUCACAGUCCAUCCCGACGAAUCUGGAGUUUGCUUGAAUUGACAAAAGUGAUAAAAUGUAUCCAAUUUGUGAGACAAUAAGUGCUAUUUCUCAAUGGAAUUAGGAGGAUGUUUUUUGGGCUAUCUAACUUAAAAGGUCUAAUACCGUAGUUUUUAUACAAAAAGACUGCUUGGUUGAGUCUGGAUAUUUUUCACUGCCAUGCCUGUGCAUCUAAAUGGCAAUAUCAAAUGGAGAAGAAUAAUGUCAAAUGGAGAUGAAUAAUCAAUUAAAUACUUCCUGAAUAUGUGUGUGUGUGUGUGUGUGUGUGUGUGUGUGUGUGUGUGUGUGUGUGUGUGUGUGUGUGUGUGUGUGUGUGUGUGUGUGUGUGUGUGUGUGAAUGUGUGAGAGUGAGAGAGAGAGAUAGCUGGCCUCUCACAUUGAAGAGACAGAGAUUGUGAUAUCGUAAUAAAUACAGUGUGUAUGAUAAGUAAGCAUUUUUUUCACAUUUUGUUGCUUGAUAAAGUAGGAUUGAAAUGGAUUUAGUUGUGAUUUUUUUGUCAUUGAUCUACACUCUCCAUAAUGUCAAAGUAAAACGAAAAUACCACAAGUGUUAACAAAUUAAUGCAAAUGAUUAAAUAACAAAAAUGUAGCUAAAGUAUUCUCCCCUUUUGUUUAGGUGAGCCUAAAUUAGUUCAGGAGUAACAUUUAGUGUAACAAAUCACAUAAUAAGUUACAUGUGUGAAAUAAUAUGGGAUGACAUAAUUUUUGAAUGACAACCCCUUCCUCUGUCCCCCAUACAUACAACAUCUGUAAGGUCCCUCAGUCAAGAAUUACAUUUCAAGCACAGAUUCAAGUACAUAGACCAGGGAGCUUAUACAGAAACCCAGCCUAAAACACCAAACAGCAAGCAAUGCAGAUGUAGAAGCAGUGUGGCUAGGAAAAACUCCCUAGAAAGGUAGGAACGUAGAGAGAAACCUAGAGAGGAACCAGGCUUUGAGGUUGCCAGUCCUCUUCUGGCUGUGCCGGUGGAGAUAAGAGUAUAUGGACAUUAAGGCUAGAUCGUUCUUCAAUAUGUUCAAAUGUUCAUAGAUGACAAGCAGGGUCAAAUAAUAAUCACAGUGGUUAUAGAGGGUGCAACAGGUAAGCACCUCAGGAGUAAAUGUCAGGUGGCUUUUCAUAGAUGAGUAUUCAGAGUUCGAGACAGCAGCUGCAGAAGAGAGAGCGAGAGAGAGAGUCGAAACAGCAGGUCCGGGAUAUGGUAGAAGGUCCGGUGAACAGGUCAGGGUUCCAUAGCCACAGACAGAACAGAAGAAACUGGAUCAGAAGCCCGACAAGAUAGCACAUCCGGUGAACAGGUCAGGGUUCCAUAGCCGCAGGCAGAACUGCAGAAAUUGGAUCAGCAGCACGACUAGGUGGACUGGGGAAGGGGACAGACAGGAGUCGUCAGGCCAGGUAGUCCUGAGGCAUGCUCCUAGGGCUCAGGUCCUCUGGGAAGAGAGAGCAAGAGAGAGAGAUGGGAGACUUAGAGGAAGCAUACUUAAGAUCAUACAGGACACCAAACAAGAGAAGACAAGAGAAAUACACCAGAUAGGACAGACUGACAGACUGAUAGACUGACCCGCACAUGGAUUAUUGCAGCAUAGAUACUGGGGACUGAGUCAUGGGGGGGCUGGGGGACAGGACACUGUAGCCCUGUCUGACAAUACCCUUGGACAGGGCCAACCAGGCAGGAUAUAACCCCGCCCACUUUGCCAAAGCACAGCCCCCACACCACUAGAGCUAUACCAACAGACCUCCAACUUACUACCCUGAGACAAGGCGGAGUAUAGCUCACAAAGAUCUCCCCCACCACAUGAGCCCAAGGAUGCGCAAGACCGGACAGGAAGACAACGUCAGUGAUUCAACCCACUCAAGACGAGUAUAUCGAAAAAAGCCUGGCAAGACAUGAUGCACCCCUCCUUGGGACGGCAUGGGAGAACACUAGCAAGCCAGUGACUCAUCCCCAGUAAAAGGGUCAGAAGCAGAGGGGACCUGGCCAGGCAAAAUCAACCCUUAACAGGAAGCCAGUGUAGGGAGGCUAACAGUGGAGUAAUAUGAAUGAGCUUUGGGGUUCUAGUAAUUGGGCUAGCAGCUGUAUUUAGUACUAGCUGAAGUUUAUUUAGUGCUUUAUCCGAGUAGCCAGAGUAGAGAAGUAGUCUAAUCAUCAUUAAGAUGACACAACAGUGGUAGGCCUGAUCACCGGAUAGCCUAUAGGGAGGAGGUCGGCGACCUAGCUGUGUGGUGCCAGGACAACAACAUCUCCAUCAACGUGAUCAAGAUAAAGGAGAUGACAGUGGUGGAAAAAGUACUCCAUUGUCAUACUUGAGUAAAAGUAAAGAUACCUUAACAGACAAUUACUCAAGUAAAAGUGAAAGUUACCCAGUAAAAUACUACUUGAGUGUAAUCCUGAAAGUAUCUGGUUUUAAAUGUACUUACAAAGUACUAAAUUGACAUACUUGAGUAAAAGUAUAUACCGUAGUUAAAGUAAAUGCUAUACAUCAAAUUCCUUACAUUGAGCAAAUCAGACAGCAUUAUUUUCAU